CGUCAGCGUGGCCCAGCACGAGGGCUCCGUCGGCACCCGCGGUGAGCGCCUGGUCGCCGACCAGGACGGCGAUCGUGCCGCCGCCGACGUC
rnacentral:tRNA from 1 species